UCUUUAUUGUCUUCCUUAAUUUUAAAAGCUUCCUCUUCAGCAGUCUUUAAUAUGUAGUGGUUUAGACCAAGCUACAUUAAUACACUAGUGAGUUUAUAAGUCUGAGGAAUGCAGCUAAAUAAUUGGUUUGGAACAAGAGUUUUGUGGAGGUAACUGACUUGAAAAGCCAGAAUAGGUAUUAAAUCGAUGUGCAGCCAGCACUAAGUAGCUCUAGAACCUACUUUCACACCUCGUUUCCAUAAUGAAUGAGAUGUAAAUGAAUUGAGCGCACUGGAGACACGUCGGUUCGGCUCUGUGUACGUUCAGCCCGCCUGUCUGGUUCCCCUGGGCUCUGGGGCUGCUGCUCUGUGGACGAUCCUUAGCGAGAGCUGAGGACUCAUGUACUACAACUUAGAAGAGUCUUUUGCAUGUGUCGCUUAGGAGAGAGUGUCGGUUGGACUCAGGUGUGUAUCGAUCAAGCCAGGUCCAGGGAGCAUCACUGAGGAAUUAACUGUGGCAAGGAGCUAUCGCUGCCAAAUGUUGUGUUUAGAAAAUACCUCAAGCAUUUAAGAAAACUCUUCAGAGAUGAAUUUGUUUAGUCUUUGAAAGCCCAGGAACUCUGUUGCAUGUUUCUAUAUGUUUAUUUUAGUACCAUAUCCUAUCCACACGCAGCAAUAGAGCGCUGCGGCGACACAUUGCCUGUAGCACAAUGCCUACUGUAUAAAAUCAGUUCUAUGUUGCUACCAGACUAUCAGAAGUACACAAGAUAAUGUACCUGUUUGUAGUAGGAGAGGCUUUUGUCCUGCAGGAGAGUUACAUGGUGCCCACCUGAGCUCCACAUAUGGGGUACCAGGACCGACCAUCCUUCACUGCCAUGUCCAGCCCCAGAACGAGCUGUCUCCUCCUUUAAAAUGAGCUCUUUAGAAUGAGAGUCUUUAGAAUGAGUUGGGAUAUCGCUUGCAAAGUGCUGAGGAGAUAGGAUCUGUGUUCUGCUUCCAGUUCACUUCUUACUGUUUGAAAUCUCACAGGAGGGGCUGCUUAUGCACUUAACACCAGGCACAUGGUUAAGCGCCUUUCUGAAUGGGUGCUUGGUUUCCAACAACCAUUGUCUUCCUCAUGCAUAAAUAACGCCUCUUUCCUGUGAAAUUAGUGAGUAUUAUUGUGCUGUUUGGCUUGGUGAAAGCUUUAAUAGAUGAAGUUCAAAAGUGGCAGCAGUAAGGGCCUGAGAAGAGCAGAGCACCUGGUACGUUGUGCCCAUAAUCAGGAGCAUAGGAAGGGCCACGGUUAUGUGAGUCAAGCUGGUACGCUUGAAACUGGAUCAUUUCCUACCUUUUUGCUGAUUUGAUAUGAAGACCUCUGUCAACAAAUCCUUCAUUAUUCAGGCUUCCUACUCCAGUGCUGUGAAGAACAGCAAAUUAAGCAGCCCACGUAUGUAAUAUUAAUGGCUGGAGAAGCAGCACUGCUACUCUGUUUGUAUGUACUGCCAAUGCUCAUUAAGAAAUUCCUGUCACACUAUAAAGAUGGUUGGUAGAUUAUAUACGACAAGUUCCUGCAUCUUCCUCCUUAAAACAGCCUCCCUCCCUCCCUCCUGGAGCCUGGAGGGACCCAUUUAGUACUGAACCACGUUUGUUUGCACAGUCUACCAGAACUCGCUUUCCCCUUGUUUUGGUGGAUGCAAAUGAGGCCUCCUGUUGCAUUUUCACUUUUGCAAUUACAGAUGCUUCUCUGGCUUUGGUUGGUGCUGUUGUGGCACAUGGACAGUGGCUGGAUUUUAGCUAUUUGGUACCUGAGAGAACUCAAACCAACAUUACCAGCACCAGAAAGCUGUGGCUUUGAAGUGUAACAGGGACUUUGCUUAUUCAUGGUCAGGCCUUUGUUCCUAGUAAUUAAAUUAGAGCUUUCUACAGUUAGUUAACAUACUAAUGACCUAAAAACCAAUCCAAGGAAAUUCGCUGCUCAGCCCUGAUGAUAGGAGACUGUAAAGAUGACCGAGAGUCCCAUUUUCAACAUUUCACUGUGCUCAGUAAGCACAGAUGAACAGAAUGGGAGAGAAAUAGGGAGAGGAGUAAGGGGGCUGUGCUCUCCAUGAGCACUGGUUGUGUCCAGCUGCCUUCAGCAGCGUGGGCCCAGUGCUCGCUGUGGAUUUCCACUGUAGCUUCUCCCCGUCUGCUCCCAUGUGUUCGUAUCUCCACCGGUGCCGGUCCUGGGAGCCCCGGCCGCAUCCCUGCGUGGCGAUGCUCAGCUGCCCAGCACAGCAAUGGGCUUUGGUGGAAGGUGAUGCUGCUGCUGCCCCUGGCAGGACCAUCUGCAUCCAUGUGCUGAGUUCCUGGGGGAUUCUCCCACCAGUACAGGUGCAUCUCAUGCCUCCCUUUUUCUCCAGCAAAUCCGUGGUCUGAUUGACUGUGGAUACCCAUUUUCCACCCUGUUGUCAUCAAGACAAAACCCCAAAUCACUCUGUUCCACUCUGCCAUUAACCUUUUACAGCUUUCUUUCAUCAGUCCUCCCUCUCAGGCAUAAUCAAUAGCUUCACUCUUAGCGUUUGGCAUUCCCUUCUGUUCUGCCAGUCAGGAUAUCAAGGUCAAAUCAGUUCCUUUUGUAUUUCUCACUUAAAUAAAUAGUAUCAGGCUGCCAUGCUGUAAUGCAAAAUAUUUUGUAAUAUUGAAAAAUCUCAAGUAUUGAUUGGAUCUAGCUCUAUAUCUAGCUCUCUACAGAGCCUUGACUGCAACUUUAAUACAGCACUCAAUAACAUGUCAUUUGUGAGACCGGUUGAUAGAGCUGAAGAGGCAUUCUUGGCAGGCUGCAUGUGCAAGCUCGGGAAGGGUUUUUUUCAUCACAUCACACAGCCCUCACACAAUCACACCAGCCCCUGAAGAGCAAUAGGAUUUUAAUCAGCUCUUCCAAUUGUUUUGUCCCCGGUGUCGAGUACAGAGCCAGUGUCCCCCACUCCUAAAGCACCAGUGAGGAGGGACUGUAAUUGAAGAGGAUGCUCUUCUAACCCACUUUUAAUAUGAUUUGUGAGGCUACUGGGGAUGAUUGCUGCAAAGCAGCAGCAGAGAGAGACGACAGACAGACAAGCCAAGCGCUGUUAUUCAAGUCAGGCCUUAAACCAAAGAGAAUUUCAAGUUUUUGGAGCAAGAGCCAUGCCAGAGCAUAGAAAGAAUUGCGAACACCCAAAUCGUGCUGCUUUGUUGCUCCUAAAAAAAUAACAUCCCCCUCGCCUCCUUCGGAGUCGCACUCUGACAGCUUGAAAACCUGCUUCAGCUUCUCAACCCCGGCAAUGGCCCCGGCUAUAAACAGCGUCUCACCGUUUGGGGUGUGGGCUGGAAGCUCUGUAGGGAAUAGAAGAAGAGAAAGCAGCAGAGAGGGGGAGGGAGGAGCAAAAGGGAAAUGCCCCACUCAUGAGUGGUAUCUGCUGCUUUGGCUUUGGAUAGAAGCAAAGGGUGGGUGAUUAUAAUUUUAUAUUAUAAGGCAGCAGGAAGCCUUAAAUAAUACAUAUUUCUCUCUGUAUAUACAUGCACGUAUGCUUUCUGCAUGUGCAAAGUAGAUUUACGCUGUCCUUGUUUCCAGAAUUAAUUCAUCAUUUGCUUACUACAACUUCCCCAUCCCCCAUUUUAAUAUUUUCACUUACUGUACUUUUGAAGAGCUAGAAAUAGCUUGUCAGAUUGAGACAGCUCUUGAGAAGUUUAAUUUUCCUAAUGCUUGUUGGAAAUCCCCUUUCUGAAUCUGCAGGAAUAUUAAGGUUCUUAGCAUGAGCUGUGCAGAGAGGGAAUUUGCAAGUAAAGCUGUCAGUGUAAUGCAGUUGGGUUAGGGGAGGCUUGAUGGGCAGCACUGGUGGGUGCGGGAUCUGUGUCCCGAGGAGGGAAGGAUGCGUGCUGAGCUGGAAGGGGAUGGGAAGGUGCCAACCGCUUGUUUUCUGUGUGCCAGCCAUACAGGCAAUACAGGUAGUCAGACAAAAUUAGAGCAGAGGCACAUGGAGCGUUUACAAGCAAAGGUAACAGUUGUAAUGGCUUUUGCUGCUGAUUCGGCUCCUGCAUUUCUAAUGUCCCUGUUUCUGGCUGUCACGGCUGGUAGGAACUUGUGUCCUGCUCCUGGUUGCUGGGAUCCUGUGACGGGGUCUCUGCAGAACCUGCCAGUGUUACUGGCUGUGCCCAACUGGGGACAGCACUGAAAGGUGCAGGGACUGGGCUAAAAGCUUGAGCUAAAGCUUUACUGCUGGCACUGUGUGUUACCCCGGCGUUCAAUGCACUCCCACAAUGGCAGUACUGGUGUGAAGGAUUCUUCAUAUAGACAGGAGAAAUAGAAAGGCAUUUUGCAAAGAGCCAGAGAAUAGCGGGUGUCCCCUGGGUACUGACAGUGACGGGAAAGCACAGUAAUUUGAGAACAGGUAACCUGUCAAUGUCUGGAUCCUUGUGCUUGGUUCUGUGUCCAAAUAGAAGUCCCUGUCUGACAACUGCACAAACCAAGGGGGAUCGUUCCCCCUGUGUCAUCAGGAGCGUGAAUCAGCGGCCACAUUUGCAAAAGCAGGAACGUGGCAAGGAGCCCUGUGCCCAUGGCAAGCUCUGGGGUCUCAGCUGAGCGCAGACCCAGAAUGUCACUGAACCCAGCGCUCUGCGGUUCGGGGCGGAAGGUGACAAUACCCUCGGUAAGACUGGUUGUAGCUGCUGCUGGAGCUGGGCUCGGACCAGACUGCAGACCCGCGCUUUGCCAUGGCAGGCCCACGUGUUCUGGCUCAGGUUCGCUCCUAUUGCAUGGCAUUGUAUAUAUAGUUAAUCAAAGGCAGAUAAUCUGUGAGUGGAGGUGCUCGCCCCAGCGGCUCGUGGGCUGCCGGCUCCAAACCCAUGGGGACUCCAAACCCACGCUGGGCUCACACCCCAGCUCAAAGAUGCAGGUGUUGCCAUCAGCCCCUUUUCCUCCAUCGUAAGCAGAAGCAAAAUAGUUAACUGAGAUCAGAAAAGCUGAUAAUUCCUCCUCCUCCUCUUUUACCACCUGCUAUUUUCUUCUUGAGUAUCUGGACUCGAAGUAUUACUGAAAUUAAAUAUAACAAUUUAGACUUUCCAUUGUUCCCUGCUCUGUAAUGUGCUGGAGUGGCACCUUUAUAUUCAUCCAUCCAUCCCCAUCUCCUCAGAUAUGCUGCUCACACAAUGGAUAUUGUUGUAGAAGGGACCUGGAAUGAGCUCCUGCAUUAUUCACUUCAUUUAUUUUGAUACAAUAUUUGGAGCCACUUCAUUAAAUUCUCUUACAAUGUCCUGUCAUUUUUUCCCCGUCUCCUUGCCGGUGCCUGGUUCGUACAGAUAGUAUAACAACAACAAUAUAAUGUGGGGAGGUGGGGGAAUAGACUUGUUUUCUAUAAAAGGGACAGCUGUGCAUUAUUUAACUUCUUUUAUUGAUCUCAGGAUUCCCUUCUUCCCACCCCACCCCCCAAAAAAAAAAAAGAGUACAACUAGCUUAAAACACAUCAUUUGCAUGUAAUAGAUAUAGGAAGUAAAUACUCAGAACAAUUAAGUCUUGAACAAAUUAAAAAACAUAGAGCUCUACAGGCAGUGUGGAUGUGCAGAAAAUGCAUAAACUCCUCUUUACUAGAACUGAAAAAUGAACUACAGUUUCUCCUGUUUCAGUGUUUUCAUGGAUGCAGUAGAUCAGUCUCGUGAAAUGUUUGGUUUGGUCUUGUGGCUUUUGGGUUCUGGAUUUGGUUUGUUUGGGUGUCAGGACCUUUCCUGCCAGGUGUGGCUCACAAAUCGCUGCCGGGACGGGGGAGAUCUGGGCUCAGCCGUUCAGACUCUCCAGUGAGAGUGGGGGUGGGAGCCCCACGCCGCCCAUCCUGCUCCUUGAUUUAUGCCGCAGAAAACACUUGCUGGUGAUUUAACAUCAAAACGUCAGGACGUCGCGGUUCCAGGAGCACACAGCUGAUGGAGCACGUGUCGGCCCUUUGGGAAUCGGAGUCUGGACUUCUGUGGGUGGUUGUCGAAUAAAAAACGGGUGAAAAGCCGCCACCACCAAAUAAAUAUAUUGCAUCCAUGGGGCUGUGGUGAUGCCUUGAGCAUUGUCUUGGCCAGGACACUCAAAACUGAGCUGUGUCUCCAGCUUAGGCUCCUGCUCUGCAACACAUGCUUGUCUUUUUAAGUACAUAGUUAAGCUUAUUGGAGUGAUAGAGCUAGUUCUAUGUUUACCUAACGUAUAUUAAAAAAAUAAUAGGUUUCACCUCUUUGUCCUUAUAUUUCUCUUUGCUGUUCAUCAUCCAAAGCCAAAAUACCGGAGGAAAGGUCUGUAUUGUUGAGAGGGGGAAAUGAAUAGUGAUCUGGAGGUAACACAUGGACCAACAGCUGAAUUAUUUCUGAUUUUCAGUGUAUACAAUAUCACUAUGUAGCAGCCCCUUGUGUUUUUUAAAGCCUUGUGAGCUGUGUCCUGCCUGGCACCAUUUUGCGGUGGAGCCUUCCCGCAGGCUGCCUGGCACCCGCUUUGAUAACUCUGGGUUUAUUCUGGUUGGCAUCAGACGUUUUCCAGCUCAGAGCCCGAUCUGGAGCUCAGAGCGCAGGGACGGGGCUGGUGCUGGAGCCGCUGUCCUCAGCAGACCCGGCUGUGCUGCAUUUGCAGCCUCUCGCAGGUACUGGGCAGCAAAAAAGAGCUAGAAGUGAAACAUUUUCAGAAGUGUAGGACUUGAUGUUCCUCGUUGCUCCAGCCGCUGCUCCGGAGUCACACUGGCUCGGAACUGUAGAGGAUUCAGAGAGGGGGAUGAUUAAAAGAUGGGAAAACAUCUCAUAGAGCGAGAGCGGCAAAGAGUGCAAUCCCCGUCAGGUAUCAAAUGGAGCUUACGUGGUGCUUUGAUCACAACCUUCAAGUAUUUAUGUGGUGAACAUAAAUUUAAGAGCCUCUUUAAUCUAUAGGCAAAGACGUGACCACCAGGGCAUGAACCUGGAGCUGUGCACAUGCAGGACCAGUUUCUCGUAGUGAGGGGACAAGUCACCAAGGAUUGCAACAGGUUUAUGGCUGGUGUUUUCAGGUGUUUCUCUGGAAGUGAUGUUCUGGUUCAGGUGCUGCCGCUGGGCCAGGCUGAUGAAGCCAGAAGUUCACUGCUCUGUAUAAUUUUGAAUUAGAUGGCUGUGGGGCUUUCUAUCGGUUUCAAAAGAUAAUUUGGCAGUCUCUGGGUAAGGCUCUCUGUAGGAAAAAAGGCAAAACCCAAUGUUCUCAGCUCUUAUUCAGCUCUAAUUCCUUUGGUAAGGAACUAUGUUGUAUCUAAGGCAUGCUAAGGUUUGGUUUUAAUCUGAUGCAAGUGCCUGGACUGCAGUCACAUUAUUUCUCAUUUCCCUGAGGUUAACUGAGAAUAUGUUUCAAACUGUAUUUUGCUCAUUGAUCGUGGGGUAUGAUUCCCACAGACUUCAGUGAGCGCUAAAUCCUUCAGCCCUAAGUUCUAAUUUUAGCUACACUGGAGCACUCCAAACAGUGCUACCCGCAGCGGUUCCAUUGCUUUUCAGCAUCACCCGUCUCAGAAUACUCCAUUAACUUCUGUGGUGUUGGUGGCUUCGACUUGGUAGUAGGGGUAGAAUCUCAACCUGCCACCUUCUGCUUUUAAUCCGAGUCAAGCGGUGGGGAUGAAAUUGCGUGUUUUGAAUGAUUCUGUGUGUUUUCUCAGUAGAAUUCUGAGCCUCAGCCUUAACCUUCCCAGUAGUUCAUGGUGGCUAUAGCAGAGUUAUUUGAUUAAAAUAUUUUUACCAGCUACUUGAAAGUACUGCAGCAAUCUGAUUUAUUCCCAUUGUUAGUGCUUGUUUGUUUAGUUUUUCAGAUGAAAUGAAUUUACCAUUCAUUUAGUACUCAUGCCAAGGGAACUAUUAUAUUCAGAAAUAAUGGAGCACAAUAUGCAGGAAAACAUGGGUAUUUUGUUCACGCAGUUGCACAUAUACACAAUGGAAAUUAUUUGGUGGUUUAGGGUGUUAAUCUGCUUCAUCUGUGAACGGGGACCUGCGGCUUUUGUACCAGCCCAGUUACCCCGAUGCCGGGGGCCAGGGGGACCCCCAGGGCCGCAGCCGGGGCCUUUGGCUCGGUGGUGACGUGCCCAGCGUUGUCACAAAUGACAACGUGCUUGUCACAACAGCUCUUUUCUGGAGUUCUCUGAAUCUUCUGUUGGCCUGGAAAAUAACUAAAGAGAUGGGAUGUUUAAAAUCCUCAAGUUUAAAGCAGGAGUUAGUGUCGAGUGCCCAGUUUCUGACACAAAGGUUUGAGUUCAGAGGGGGCUGUGCAGUCAAUAUUCUUAAUAAAAUGAGUGGGAGAUGGGAAUUCCAUUGGAAAUCAGGCCCUGGCACCUCAGAGCAAAGACACCUGAAAGCUGCUUGUAGCCUGGCAUCUAUGUGGUAUUCUUCAUGCCCCAAAUCUGAACAUGAGGUCGUGGCCAUUAAUGUCCUCCUAAAAUGUCUUUGCAAGGCUUAUCCUCUCUAUUUUUUAAUUACAUUUCUUAACAAAUUUCUGCCAGUUGACAAGCUGUUGAAAAUGUAGUUUUCACUUCUCAUGUGCAUGGAUACUCAGUCACAUGUAAAACUUCAUGUAACUGAAUUUUAACACUGCCAUAACAGAAGUAAAGUAAAACCUCACUUAUUUCAGACUGCUACGCAGAGCGGUUCUAACCUGGAAUCUGUUGCAGGGAAAACUGGCAAUAAACAAAGAGAAAAGCAGGGAAAGGAUCAUCAGUGAAUCCUCAUUAUUGCAUUUCCAUUCCCAUUGAUUUUUGUCCCUUCCUACAGACAAAGCAACAAGGUUUUAUUUAAAUAAGUUUAGCUCACUCAAUCCUUAACAGCUCAAAGUUAAAGCCCAGAGGGAUGACUUAUUUUCUCUUUUUCUGAAGGCAGCGAUGCUCCGCAAACCUCCCCCGCUAGUGCAGCCAGGUUCCCGAAUCUUCCCCUGAACACUGUGUGCGCAGACCUGCUUUUGGGAGCUCCCCAAUGGGCAGGAGGCUGUACCUGGUUCUCCCGUUCUGGUCAGACACCUGCUUCAGCUCUAAACUCUGCUGACGUUGCUGAGGGAGAUAAUUAUAGUGCUCUGGGGGACUUUUGGCCUUACCAAAAAUAGAUGGGGAACAGGGGAACAUGCAUUUACAGGGAAAACUCAGAAGGUGCUGAGCAGAAUAACAUCUAUAUUACGUGACAGCUUCUGGAAGAGCCUCACAAAAGCGCCUGCUCCAUCCCCAGGCUUCCAUUUCCCAGGAUUAAAUGUCUGUCUUUCCAGGAAUCUUCCAAUAUGAAGUCCUGCAUUUGUUUGUGUGACAACCGUAGUGGAGCAGGAAGGUGUUUUACAUCAGGUGACCCAGGGUGACGCUUUAGGAAGGUCCCAGUGAAGAUGUUCUGGCUCCCGCGCACCAGCGCUGGGCACAGCCAAGGAUGGGCACUGCGUCGUGUGGGAUCUGAGGUCAAUCCAUCAUGUUUUCUUUGCUUAAAGUAGAAGCCUGGCUUGCCGUGAUUCGGGAAACAAACUUUUCUUCAAUUGGAAGUUAUCUAAUUUAGUUUUUGCAAAGCAUUCGGAUUGCAUUUCCUUCCCCAAAUGUUAUAGCAAAAUUGAUGGAUUUAUUGAUAGUUAUAAAUGUAUAUAAAUACAGAAAAAAAUAGUAACAUAUCUGAGCAGGGUUAGGAGACUUGAUCUUGCUGUAGAGCCGACUGAUGGCAAAAUGUGAGCUUGGCAAGCAGUGGGAUGAAAGAACAGAAGUAGAUUCACUAUGGAAUAUGGGACACUUCCCCCCAUGCAGGCUUAAAAACAUCCUGAUGUUUCAUUCAAACAAAUGGCAAAUGUUUUAAGAGUGGAGGGGACAGAAAAAUGAUCUCAUUAAGCUAUAGAAAAGUAACUAAAAAGGAUGGAAGGUGCAGUAGGUAACAAGAUGCAUAAUGCUCCAGGGCCAGCUUGGAGCAUUUCCCAGGGCUACAACAAUAAGAGAUGUAAUCAGUAAAACACAGUAAAUACAAAACCAAAGAUGAGCUACAGGCUUUGUGAGAGACUUGCAACCUGUUCCGAACAGAGUCAUUACCAGGGUCAUACUGAGAUGAAAAAGAGAGUGAAACACUAUUAAAAGAUGAUGAAUAUUCAGAACAUGUAAUACUAAUGUUCUCCUAUUCCAGCAAAUGGUUAUUAUAUUUCCCCAUUACCUCUUACUUUGCUGUACUUGGAUACACGAAAAGAUGCAACUUUGUGCCUGCCUUGCAGCGCAGUCUGUAAACCGUGAGAUUGUCGCCAAUGCUUGGCCAAGAUAGAUUUAUUUUAAAUCCCGUUACAAAGCGUGAGCCGUCCUUCCGUGCCUUGGAGCACCUUUAAUCCAAAAGCGCCUGGUGUUGUUUGAGGAGCGAGAGGGAAGUCCCGACGGCAUCGCCGUCAGACUCGGCUUGCAAAGUGCUGGUAUUUUGAACCAAUAUUUGACAGUGUUACUCCUUCAUUAGAGUGUGUUACCUCUUUAAACAACUGUUGUAGUUGCUGGAUUACACCAGGUGUGUAAGUAGGGAUUGCAGAGCCAAUAGUUCCUGCCGAUAGUGUUGAUUAUUUGUCUGUAGGCAGAGAAGGCUGCGCUGGAAGCUGCGUCCUCCCUGCUGGAAACCCCGCGCCUGGGCGAGGAGACGAGCAAUACCACAGGAAGGAGGGGAGGGGGAUGGCAAAGGAUCAAAGCCAAACAAGCAGAUUAUCAGAGACACCGGGAGAUGUUUCGAGAGAACGGGACUCCCUGCAGGCAGCUCAGAGAACCAGAAAUACAGGUGUAUGGGAGAUGAAGCUUGAAAAUGAGUGCAGCGAGUAAAAAGAAUGAAUAUUCCUUCAAUUACCAUGAGAACUAUACCGGCGCCGCAGCUCACACAUAAUGAAAAGAAGAUGCAUGGUUAAUAUAUUAUUUAUAUAAUGAAACAAUCGGCAAAGAAGCCACGAAGCCUCCGCCUGUGUGCAGCGGUUGAUGAUGAUUACAAUCACACACAGCAUUUCCUACUUUGACGUAAGCCACGAAAGCUCACUUGCAGCAACAAUAAAAGAAGAAAACCAACAGCACUCACAAUUUAAAACAAUUGUCAUUGCACAAUGUUCAACUUACAUCCCUCUAAUUUAACUUUCCAAAGAUAAGAUAGUUCAUGGACCAGACAUGAUUGCUUAUAUCUACGCCAAGUGUAUUGUAAAGCUUUCCCUCCCUAGAUCAGUAACAACUUGAAAAUAAGCAGUGUUCUCUAUUCCUGACCUGUGCUACAGUCUGUGUCACCACAACCACACAGGAUCUGCUGAAUGAAAAUCCCUUUGACAUUUUCUAAUCUCUGGUGGUCCAGAUUCUUCAAGACACAGACGUUUCCCAAGCACCUGAGCAUGGCACUAAUCUCUCCGUAUGACUGAAAGCAUUUCCGUAACUAACCUGACGCAACUGAGCUAACAGCAGCAAAUAGUUUACCAGAUACUUAAGAUGUCAAACUAAUCAGAGGAACAAACCCCAGCAAACUGCUUCCCAGAGCAUCUUUUCUGAUCCCUAUUGUCAGACUGAAUCAUCUAAGGCAGCAUUCAAAGUGCCACGGGCACACUGUUCCAUCUUCCACCGAUAAAAUUAGGAGAUAUACCUUGAAACUGUAAGUGUUCUAACUUAAUCACAUUUUCUCGAUCUAAUAACUCUCAACCUCUGAUAAACUGUGUACAGUGGUUUAAAAACUGUAUUUGACAUGGUUUGGGGAGAUAAGGAACAAGAGUAAAUGGUAACUUUAUCUUUAAAACCAUGGGCGAUGAUUCGCAUUCGGAGCUCAGCUCUGCAAGAGGAAAGUUUUUGCAACAGCUCUGCAGCGGGAUUAGAGCACUACCCUGUGCACAGAGAUGUUCCUGACCCAUUUGCAGACCUUGACAGUUUCUAUAUUAUUUGACACCAAUGAAAGUAUAAAAGGGCUUUUAAUAAAUGAGAUACAACUACUGUUUUAGAGAGAAAGAAGGGAUAUCAGUUUCCUUUCUAAGACAGGGUAACUGGAAAAACACUGCUAUGGGUGUACAACAGCCAAUAUGGAAAUGCAAGUUACCAUCUCCACUUAAAAGGAGAUUCGGUGGAGUUCUGAGAUUGAAUAACAGAAAAAUGGGUCAGCAAGCUGCAGCAGAAUAAGGGGAUUUCUGAUCUCGGGCAUAGCCCGGUGCAGAGAAGGAAGCUCAGACAGAAGGGGUUUAUAUACACUAAGAUUAUAGUGUUCUAGACAUAUUUACCACCUGUGACUCUAGUUCUGACAGAAAAGAAAGUCCUCAGCCACUUGUACAGUCACGGAUGUCACUGGAACUACUUCUGUGCUUAAAAUUGCGCUUUCCUCUAAGCGAGGCAAUAUAUACCAUAUUUUAAAUUGAUCUUGAAUUCCAAAUAAACACUUAGAAUGUAGGACGCUUGGAGAUCACAGAAGAGGCUUCUUAGAAGGAUGUAUGAUGAAGCUAAUUGGGUCUGGUAUGAAUAAUGUAUUUGAAUUCCAAGCCAAACGCUACCAGCAUGUUGAAGGAAACAACAGAACGUAUCAGAAUUGGUAUCAGGAGAUGCAUCAGUCCGAGUGUUCAACACCACCGCCUUGCUUUGAAUUUUUGAAGAAGCAUAUGGAAGUCAAUGGGCUUUUUUUGCAGGGAAUACAUGUACAAAUAAUUUCAUAAAUAGCUUUACAUCUCAGCCUUCACGAGCCUGGAAGUCCCCAUUUGCAAAUGAUACGGCAAGAGGCUGGGGGAACCAAACCAAACCAAACAACAUGCUGCAAGAAUUCUUCUAUUAACAAAGCCUCCCAACCUAACCGAAUGUACCUUCCUGAAACACAGCUUAAUAGGAUGCAUUAAUCACACUCUCCACAAAGUAAAUAAAUGUAAUACAUUUUCUACUCUGCAAAAUCAUCUAACGGACUAUUCUUCUGCAGGUUUGCUUAAUCCUGAGUUAGAUCAAAACACUCAGAGAAUCCGGGUCUGAAAGGCAUUUCCAUAACGUACACAAACAUGGAACAGCAAAGCCAUAAUGCGGGAAAAUACACUGAAAUUAACAUUUCCAGCAUUUAAAUACGAGGAGCGUUCCCUCUCUCCCCGCUCUUACUUAUCUUCACAGAAACUCCAUUCUAACACUUAAUUUUAGUCACUAAUUAUUUUUUGACCAAGCAAUAUCUGGGACCUAAUAAUGCUUUAUAUUAAGACUAACUGCUAGAAAUUAUAGAUAACAUAUUAACUAAAACUUCAGGCUCAUAGUUCUCUUUUGGUUAGCGACUGCUUGUCUAAUAUAAGGUCAUAUCUCAGUUAGUCCUUGAAGACUAACACGCAGCGACAUACACGCAGCAUCUUGCAGGGUUCGCUUACGGAACCAUCAAAGCUCAAGCGCCACAAGUCACUGAGAACCGACCCCAUUCCACGGCAGGUUCUAAAGCAGCACAGGCUGGAGAAACGUUCAGCAAGGCUGACACCUAGUAAGAGUCUGGAGAACUGCAAAGGGAACGUGAGACAACAGCAGAGCGAAACCAAGGCAGCCUGACACCCAGGACUGGAGGAGAAUCUGAGGCAGAGCCAAGUUUCCAGACACACGCACAUAAUGGACAAUGAAGCCAAGCUCUGGAAGGGAAAGAGCUACGGAUUUGUUGUUUUCUUACCUGGGGAUUUGAAAAUAGCAGUCCUGUCUCCUUGUGGUUUAUUAUUGCUGCAUUCCCAGGAAUGUUCCUUGCCAGCACUGGAAUAUCUAAAUCCAUUGCCUAGGGGCACAUAGAAAAAGGAAACAACAGGUUAUUAGGGAUUUCAAGAUGUUCGUGAUGACAAUUUCAGAAAGAAAAGCAGAAACAACAAACCAAACUCCUUUCCCAUGUCUCUGCUUUUUAGGUGGAAAAAUACCAUGUCUAAGGUGAUAUUCUAUAUGGAGCUUCUCCAAAAUAUAAACCAUUCCCAAGAUACCUAAGGCCUGGCAGCUUUUGAAAACACAGCUUAGAUUUUGAAGUAACUCGUGUGCAGACCCUGGCCACUCAACUCUGUUCCUCAUGCACAGCCUGAUCUGAAACUUUAAUUACCAUUGAUUGAUUUGGAAGUCUUGAGAUGCACUGACUGUAAAACCAGAAAAACUCAUAUUGUACAAUAUCACAGUGUCAAACAAGAGAAGGAAAUUCACUCCCCCUAAUCUUCAAUCUGCUUUAUACUGAUUCCCUGUCACUUCAGAGUGAAUGCAUUUUUAAUUACUGUCAUUACACUCCCAGAUGGGGAGCAAAUUUGCUUCAGCCUACAUAGCAAGAAAGCAAAACUCUAAGAAGAGAAAACAUCCUUUUGGACAAAACUGAAGACAAAAAUACCCUGGCUGAUAAUGUACAGAACCAAUUAUGCUUUGAACAGAGAGGGACUGCUGUGACUUAGAUAUUUUAAGCUAUUAAGACAUGUUGCUAGGAGAAACACUGUUUAAAUCACCACUGCAGACGAAUUUACUCUGGACAUAGAAAUUCUAGAGUCCUUCUGGCACAAACAUCUGCUUUGCAGCUGUCAGCUUGAAAAAUAAUAGUAACUCUUAAGGAAAUAACCUGUUCUGCACUUUGUAUCAGAAACUAGUGGGUCAGCUGGAGGUAAUUCAGACAGAUUAAUGAACUGACCAGAAACCAGAAUAAAUAAAUAGGAAAUAUAAAAACUACAGACCAAAUUAUCUGAGUGUCUGAAGUUGAGACACAGAAGCACCAACAUCUCAGAGACAGAAUUCCCGAAUCAGUUCUUUUUCAGCCCUUCCUAUUGACAGCCUUCAACACGCUCCUGUUCAGUCUCAUUCAAAGAUGUUCAACAAACAGGGAAUAAAGAUAUUUUACUUGAAGUUCUGAACUGAAAAUCAAGGGCUUGAUAGUGGCAGUGAAGUGUGUCACAUUCAUCGUCACCUGCUGAAGGCCUUCUCCUCACCUCCCUGCAGCUCUCCUUUGAACAAAACCAAAAAUGUAAGAGGAUUUCAGGACUGGCUACUUUCCAAACAAGUGAUUGUCCAGUCAAGAUGAGAGAAGAGGAGAGGGAGAGAAGAGAGAAGAAGAGAAGAAGAAGAGAAGAAGAAGAGAAGAAGAAGAGAAGAAGAAGAGAAGAAGAAGAGAAGAAGAAGAGAAGAAGAAGAGAAGAAGAAGAGAAGAAGAAGAGAAGAAGAAGAGAAGAAGAAGAGAAGAAGAAGAGAAGAAGAAGAGAAGAAGAAGAGAAGGAGAAGAGAAGGAGAGAAGAGAGGAGAGAGAAGAGAGAGAGAAGAGAAGAGAGAAA